GAACUUAAGCAUAUCAAUAAGCGGAGGAAAAGAAACCAACAGGGAUUACCUCAGUAACGGCGAGUGAAGCGGUAACAGCUCAAAUUUGAAAUCUGGCUCUUUUAGAGUCCGAGUUGUAAUCUGUAGAAGAUGCUUUGGGCAUUGCUCCGGUCUAAGUUCCUUGGAACAGGACGUCAUAGAGGGUGAGAAUCCCGUAUGUGACUGGUGGCAUUUGUCCGUGUAAAGCUCUUUCGACGAGUCGAGUUGUUUGGGAAUGCAGCUCAAAAUGGGUGGUAUAUUUCAUCUAAAGCUAAAUAUUGGCCAGAGACCGAUAGCGCACAAGUAGAGUGAUCGAAAGAUGAAAAGCACUUUGGAAAGAGAGUUAAACAGUACGUGAAAUUGUUGAAAGGGAAGCGCUUGCAACCAGACUUGCAGGUCGUUGAUCAUCCGGGGUUCUCCCCGGUGCACUCGGCGGCUUUCAGGCCAGCAUCGGUUUGAGUGGUGGGAUAAAGGCCUUGGGAAUGUGGCUCCUCUCGGGGAGUGUUAUAGCCCAAGGUGCAAUGCCGCCUACUCGGACCGAGGACCGCGCUUCGGCUAGGAUGCUGGCGUAAUGGUUGUAAGCGACCCGUCUUGAAACACGGACCAAGGAGUCUAACAUCUAUGCGAGUGUUUGGGUGUCAAACCCAUACGCGUAAUUAACGUGAACGGAGGUAAGAACCCUUAAGGGUGCAUUAUCGACCGAUCCUGAUGUCUUCGGAUGGAUUUGAGUAAGAGCAUAGCUGUUGGGACCCGAAA
rnacentral:rRNA from 1 species